GGGGGUUUAGGAAGAGGCACUGCUUGCAGUGCAGAAUUCACCAAGAUAUUUUUAGGUAUUUCUACACUUCCACUCAGACCCUGUUUGCUGCUUGUGCUUCUUUGCCAUGCUCCUGGCACUCAUAGCUCAGAGAACUCCUGCUCAGGAAUUAAUCUUACUUAGACAGGAGAACCUUACGGCCCUGAAGAAGCAGACCACGCCGUGCUGCACGUGGGGACAGCGAAAGGCAGUGUUAUCAGACUGUCUUUUGGAAUGAGAAUGAGGGACCUUCUGAAGAAAGGUGCCCAGGGGCUCUGUGUGAGUGCCUGGCGUGCCCCCAGCCCUUGUAGGAGAAAAAGACCCGAGGACCCGGGCGGCACGUUGGACCUCGUUUAAAUGAGCCGCAUCCUGCCACAAGCGGCGGCGUCCUGUGGCGGCCUCGUAGAACCAUCGGGGCAAGCUUCAGUUACCUGCAUCUCAGAGGUAACAGCGCAGGGCCUGUGGCUGUCAGAUGAUCUCUCAGUCGUGGGAAGCAGCUGGGAGAGCUGAUCCACGAUGCCCAGGCCUUGGAUAAGGUUCUUACGCCUUGCAAGAGCAUUCACUCUUUUCUUCUCUUCAUUUUCCAGAAUAUCCUGAGGCUGCAUGGAGUCAUACUGCACGUGCUCUGUCUUGGGAAAGAAACACCCGACUUACAGCAAAGUUGAAACUACAGAAAUGGGCGAGAGAUACAAAACUGCAAACUGCUCUGAGCCCUACGGGGAAUUACAGACCUCAGGGUGGAGUAGGAUGAAAAUCCCUAUGAUUGCACAGCAGCAAAGGGCAGCACUGCUUCCAGGUGCCUCCUGGCACAAGCUGUCAGCCCCACAGGACUUCAUGGAGGGGCCUCAUCUCCUUAGGAGAUACCCAUGGCCCAGUGCUGCUCCUAGAGCCACAGACUGCCUUUAUAUACCAUGGAUGAGCACAGACGAAAACAAGUUGUUGCCUGCCACAGAAGAGCUGUUCUGGUCACUGGUUCCAUAAGAGGCAUAAUAGCAAAACUGCAAAGACUUCAGUCUGAGGACAUUUUACUGCAGUCAAGUACUGUAGUGAAUAACCAUAAAGAAAGCACGCCAAGAAAUGAGGGACCUGCAGUGCCAUUGGGAAGGCAAUACCUGGACACACGAGGAGACCGAUGAGCCUGCAGGAGUCGUUCCUUUGCCUGCUGUUUGUCUUCCUCCAUCGCUUUCCUUUUGCUACAGGCGUGCACAUUUAUCAAGUUGAUGGUGUCAAAGAGAAGAGCAUCCUUCACCUCAUGGUCCAGGUGAGAGUCUGUGGUGAAGCUGGGAGAGUGGUUCACCUGCCAAAACAAACAGCUCAUCGAGCCUGGCAGCUCCCAGCGCUCAGACUGCUGCCUGCAGCAAGCUUGCUGGCCCCAGCCUGCCCCUCUGCAUGUUUUCCAUUGAUCAAAGAAUAUCCAGUGUUGGAAGGGACCACAGAGAUCGAGUCCAACUGAUGUUCUCCCCCAUAACAGUGGCUGAAAGCAGGAGGGCGUGCACACCAUCUGGUUCUGGCCUUCUGUCCCUCCUGCCGUAUGAUGCUCAUCCACACUGCAGGCUGCUCAGCUCUGUGCCCCCACAGGACUGCAAGAGCAGAGCAGCUGUCAUAAAUUCAGGAUGCUGUUACAGAUCGAGGAGCGCCGAGGUUCAGGAAACUCCCUGCUGUUAGAGAGGGUGUGUAGGGAACAGGCUCUUAGAUCUGGUGGAUUAAGGUUGCUUGGCCUGCAGAAGGUUGUUUGGCCACUCGUAUUCAUAACCCGUUUAAUUCUGAGAGUGAGGUGGCCUGGUUUAAUCAAAUAAGUUCUGUUCAGCCCACCAGCCCUUGUUCUUGAGCUUCCUGCACACAAGCAAGCUUUCAACUAUCUGCUACUUUCAGAGCUGCUUCAACACAGCAGGAGAUUUCUUCCUCACCUCUAGUAGCCAAGGUUUCAGAUUUCUGUCUAGCAAAAUAUCAAAACCCAGUAUCUCAAAACAGGCACAGCUGGUAGUGUGGUUAGGAAAGCAGCUUUGGUAAUUGUGCUUCACCACAGGGUGAGCUGAAAUAAGAGUCUUUAUAAUUAUAUCUUCAAUAUCUUCCCAGAGUUUUGUUGUGUUGUAGCUGUUAUCCAUCAUCCAGGCAUUCAGGGUGGAGAGUUUCCUGUGUGGAAGACAGGAGAUGAUAAGAGCUCACCUGUGACGUCACACUUCACCCCAAAAAUGGUGGAAGUAAACAGCUGUCUGCAGUGCAGCUUUCCUGCAGGAUGUCACGGAGGCGCUGUGGUACCUGGACAAGACUGUACCUCUUACUGCCCAUUGUGUCAUCCUGGACAAAGUUUGCAUUACGUUUGUUGAUAGCAUAAUUGGUCAAAUGCAUGCAGAUGUCACCCUGAGAGAGGAACCACAAGAGACCUUCAUUUACACUUCAUUGCAGAGCAUCAAUGGAAACAACAAUUCCGUUAGUACUGAUCUAGCCACCAGCUUCACCCGCUUUUACCUCCUCUCUAUAGCACUGGUUUUCAGCUUUGAUUCACCAGAAGUUAGAGCUAACUGCUCUACUUGCUUCACUGUCCCAGUCUCCUGGGUGGAGCACAGGAGUCAGCUCCACAGGCACUGUUCCAGUUGUAACCUCACCACUGAACAAGGGACUCCCCAGGGCAGAAGCUGCAGCACAUUUCUGCACUCGUCCUCUUUACUCACGUGAAGCAGAAGGCCUCUCCAAGACAUAAACGUGUUGGAGUGACAGAGGGCAGGUUUCUCCUUCUGGGAUCGAUGUACCUCAUGGUGGCAAACCGGGCCAGACCCUCCUUGUAGACAAAAAUCCUCAGUGGGUCACAAGAUGUGACCAGCACAUAGAUACGCAUGUCAAACUUAAAGCCAUCAAUAAGGAAAGGCUGCGAGGAAAAAGGCAGGAGCAAGCGUGAGAUAAGGGAACAUUGCUGGGUGUGCUGCUGAGUCCCCAAGGCCAGCUGCUCCACCUGCACUGCCUGCGCCACUUCCAGCAGCGAGGAGGAAGACAAGCUGUGCCCCUGGCUUCAGGAGACACGGGGCAAAGGACGAGGAGCAGGCAGGGUGCGGGAAGAGCAAGGGAGCUGCAGUCCUUCCCCGUGCCUCAGGUCAUCCCCCUACCUUAGAGAUAUACUGCUGACAGAUCAUGUGCUCUCCGUGCCUGAUCUCCCCUGGGUCGCGUGUGAUGAAGAUGCCUCGGCCUUGGCAGCCGCUGUCGGGCUUGCAGAUGAACGUUCUGUUCUUCCUCCUGCGCCUGUAGGCCUGGAAGUCCCCAUAGCUGUGCAACGAAGGGCUGACUGUUACAGGCUGCAGAACACGAGCCCCUCACUUCUCUGGUAACACUCAGACAUUCAAACUACUGUGCUAACAACAGACCUAAGUUCUGCAGCAGGGAAAUAGUACAGCAAUUGCUGGCUUACAUCAGGAAUACGUUAUUUAGUCCUUGAGCAACCUGACAAAGCUCUUCCAGUUCCAGCUUUUUCUUGCACACAUCUCUACCUCUACCAGGAGUUUCAUGGGAAACAUUCAGCACUAUUUGUACAGGAGCCAGUGAGGGUUUUGGCUCUGCUGCUGCAGAGGGAUCGGGGAAAAAUAAAACACUGCCUACAAAGGAGGAGGAGGUCACAAGCCCUUACAUCCCCUUUUGUUCCAGCUCAUCAGCAAAUGGUCAGCAGGCUGCAGCCAGGAUGCUGUGAGCAGGGUGCAGAGGCUCACAGGCUGCACUCACAUAUCGCAUCACCUGCUUGGUCUGCAAAAGCAGCUCCACUGGGAUAUGAUGCCUUGAAGAGUCAAGCCCACAUGCCAGUUAAUUAUUUGCUGUUGAUGGAGGAACACUGUCUCUGUACUGCAGGGAAAUGAGGAGCCAUACCGACCUUUUUUGCGUGAGCGGUGGGCACUGAACCCAGCCUGCGUGGGGAGAGAGCCUCUUCUGCUCUGCAUUUACCUCUGCUGUUCCCGGUGAGCUGCAGAGGGACGUUCCCCAGAAACACAGAUGUUAUGCUUCUCAUCCUGCCCUUUGGCUUUCAGGGCAGGUCCCCUCUUCCGAGGUUCAGCUCUUUGGCCACUGAGCACAGUAAACAUCGUAGGGGAUGUCAUUCCACAGGAAACCUCAGAGGCCAUUCCCAUCCAAGCCCUAGCUGUGAAGCACAGUGCUUCUCACUUCCUGAUUUCAUACCCCUGUUCUCUGCUGCAUUCAUGUGUAUCACUCACUCAGCUGGCAGGCUCCACGUGCGGGGAAAAAUAUUGUACUCCUUGGGGAAGAGUUUGAGCAUGCGGUUGAGGUUGCGAGCCAACAAAUCCUUCCGGCAGAUCUCAAUCAUGCCAGGAAAAUGGUUGAUUUUCUGAAAGAGGUGCAGAAGAAAAACAGAGUUGUCAGUGAUAAUCCUUGAGGUCAAGGAAAGGCAGUGUAUGGAGAAACAAGCACGCAGAACAGGAAGCCAGGCCAGUUGUUGCCUUGAACGCCUGCUGAAGGACAAGAGUUCGCCAACUGCCUUAUCUGACUUCAGCAGCGUGAUUUAUCUGCUCAUUCCAUCUCAGCCCUGAAGCUCUGCCUUCCUACAGUAUUGCAGCUUCUGAAAGGGAGCAGCUUGUCAGCAAGAGCCAUUUAUUUCACUCUACAUUCAAGGGGCUGGCAGCCUUCCAGCUCCCCACUGACUGUCAGACUGUUACUGAUGGCAUCACUGCAGACACAACAGAAGCAGCGACCGAUGAACCCGUGCAUCUGGGACCAACACACAGAACGUGGGGCACAAGCGCUACUUUUAGACAAAUCGGUUUUUGUUCUGCAACACUUUGUUCCACUAACAGCUCCGUCUCGUCCUCCUGUCCUGAGCUCUUCCUGCUCCCCUCUCCAUGGGGAACUUACCUGAAACCGCUUCAUUUCCAUCACACGUUCCAGAGAGACAGAGCAGUCAGUCCAGUACACCGUCCACUCCUCGUUUUCUCCCGCUUCUCUCAGCCCGCAGCACAGCGCAGCACGACGCACUGUGUGGAAGGAAGCACAGACAAAGGUCCAGGGGGAGGAUACGAAUGCCAGGGACGGUUAAAUCCCCAGAGUAAACAGGAGGGUGGGCAAAACUCUUCAAGCUGCACUGCCACCCCCAGGGAUGACAAGGUCUAAGCAGGACCCUUCAGAAGACAUCAGAAACACAAACUCUAUCCGCUAAAUUCAACACAGCCUCUGCCUGCAGGUGCACUGGGAACCAUCGGCCUGCAAGUCCACUUGCCUUGGGGUUCCAGAACAUCCCCUGCAUUACAGCAGGCUUGAAUCCACCCUGGGUUUGAUGCCACACAGCUAAAUACAGGUCUUUGAAAGG